rnacentral:piRNA from 1 species
UCACAGGAGCCAGGUGAAGAGGCUAACA